CACAGUCAUCACUUGAUUGGGAUAGAAGAGAUUCUAUGGUCAUGUGGCCCAGGACACAACCUUGCAAAAAGAUAGCCCAACCCCAGUGACGCAGCUCCAGUGACAAGGGGCUUUUUACCUUCUAAGGCAGGCCUUUCCAUCCCUGAUAAGCUCUCUUAGGAAAUUCUUAGGUUAAGUUGAAAUCUCUCUGACUGACUGAUAUUCUCUGUAUUUAUCUUUCCAUUUCUAGGUUAAACCUCCUGCUUGUUGUUCCAACUGUGCCUCACUUGGCUUGCACUAGACCCUACACCAUUCUGAUCCAAUUGAUCUAUGCCUGAUCAAAUCUGGACCUGGGGGGAAACAAGUCCUUCACUGUGGAAAAUUCUCCUCAGGGCAGAAGGAAGUUCCACUCCCAACACAGGCAUGGCUGCGAGGGAAGUAAAGAGAGAAGGGGCAUUACCUGCCGCUUGAUGGACUUGGACUUGUGUUGGCUCACAAAUGCCUCCAUUUCACUCAGCUCCAGCUGUAAAAACCUGCACACACAGAGAACUGGCAUCUGCAUGCCCUGGGUCUACUUCCCUCCACGUGCCACUCCUGAGCUACUGCCUUCCCCCUGGAGCUUCCAGAACCCUGGCCCACCACAGGCCCUUACCUGAGUGACUGUACAGAUAAAGGCACCUCUGCCUUCUCCCUGAAAGGAGAGGGGUACCAUGGUAGAUUUAGUGGAGGAAUAGGGUGCUGGGAGUCAAAUGGAGAAAGAACACUGGGAUGAAGGGGAGUUAAGCAAGGGAUGAAGGGCAUAUGGGGGAAGUGGGCUCUCACCGGAUGCCUUCCAGCAUCUCCUUCAGUGUCAAGGGGUCAAUCCGGUCCUAGGACAGCAAGGAAAAAAGCUAAGCCUGUGAGCUCCCGAGUCAGGCAGGGAAUGAGGAUGGAUCAGGUGGCCGCCAUUUCUGUCUUCUGAUUCCCAUCCCCAACAUCACUCACCUCCUUGACCUGGUUCCAAAGAUCUUGUUCCAGGGGGUUUGGAGGCAACUGGGGCAGGGUGAACUUGAAGUAGGGCUUAAGAUUCUUAUAUACAUACACACAAGGGCCUGAGGCGAGCGCUAGAGCUGGCGUCCGGGGCUCGUGCUGCUCCAUGAGGAAGGUGGCUGCAGCAGCUGGCAGUGCAGGUAACGGACUUUCAGUUAGAACCGUGGGUCCUUUGAGCACCUUCAGGCGGGGAUGCUGCCCACUGGGGCCAAGGUCCCCCACCACCAGCUGUAGAAAGAGGCUGGCUUAUUCCAAGCUCAAGGUCCAAAGACCCCUCCACUGACUCUCUUCUUGGGCUUAGCGUUUUUGCCAGUGCAUAUUCAUCCACUCCCACACCAGUGCACCAAGUAGAGGGCGAGAAGACUUUGCAAAUAAGGCUUGCAAGCUGUGUGACCUUGGGAAGGCUGAUUAAACUUCCUGAGCUCAGUUUUCCCACCUGCAAAAUGGGAAUAUCCACCUCAUGAUACUUGUAGUGAAAAUCAAAUGAGGUGAUGAAUUAUGGAGCCUGGAGAGUGCUAGUGAGGAGUAGGUGGCAGAUGAUGUUUUCACUAUUCAUUCAGUAAACACUUCUUCAGAGUCUGCUCAAUGCCAGGCACUAUUCUAGAUAGUGGACAGUGGGUGAAGUCUGGGGGUGCUAGAAACUCCUAUCUGGGCCUGAGGCCUGGCUUCCAAAUGGGAACAAAGCUAAGGAAGCACAAGCAUGUCUGCAGAGCAGGAUGUGCUCUGCAGACAGGAAUAUCAAGCUUUCAGUCUCUCUUCCACUCUCUAAUCCCUCCUCCAAGUCACUGUGGCCACCAUGCAAGCUCAUUUUCCAUGUGAGGUUUUUUUUUUUUCUGUUUUUUUUUUUUUAAGAUUUUAUUUAUUCAUGAGAGACACAGGCUGAGGGAGAAGCAGGCUCCAUGCAGGGAGCCCAAUGUGGGACUAUAUCCCAGAUCCUGGGAUCAGACCCUGGGCCAAAGGCAGAUGCUCAACUGCGGAGUCCCCCAGGCGUCCCUUCCAUGUGAGGUUUUCAAGGCCUCUCUGAUUUGGUUUCCAGCUUGUUUUCCAUCACCUCCCACCCCUGCUAUGCUCCAGCCAGAGUGGGGGCUGCCAUAGAACAACUGGAUUCUGAGAAUGUACAGUGUGCCCAGAGCUACACCAGGAACUACAUUCAUCCUUUCAUUUAAUCCUUUCAACAGUUUAUGAGGUUUCAAUGCCCUACCGCCAACUAAGAGAUGUACCCUUCCAGCAAGAAAUUACAAAUUAACAAAAUUAAGAGGCUUUGUCUUAGUAGAACCCCCAGCAGCAUUUCAUUCUGCUUUACUUUCUGCAGUCUGUAUUAUGAAAUCAACAGGUUCUCUUCACCAUCCACGUAAAAAUAAAAUUUGACACUAAAUGUACUUUCUCAGGGAACACAUGAGUUCUAGAUUAUGCUGAGCUCCUUUGAAGCCAUCAGGAAAUCUCACUUCUGAUACUACCUGGCAUCUUGGUUCUUUCUGCGGGGGUGAUAGGCUUACCUUGUACUCCCCAUCCCCGUGCAAAUCUGCCAGCGCUGGAAAACACAAAAAGGCCAUGAGCCCGAGAUUCACAAUCCUUGAGACUUCGCUACAGAACCAUUAUUAGACUCCAUCUCCCCAGCAGGGGUUCCCGGACCCAGAGACUCACCUAGGCAAGAGGAAAAGGUGUGGAUGUUGGCCAUGGGGUCGUAGUGUGCGUCCAGCCAUUUCGAACUGGCCUCACUGCUGGAGAGAGAAGGGGAAAAGAUGGGAGCUGAGUCCCAAGGGAGGGGAAGAGCGCUCUGCAGGAGCUAGUCUCUGGGAGGGAGGUGUGUAGGGACCUCUGAAAUGGGGGUACAGACGUCUGGGGCCAAGUCCAGGCUCCAUCACAGGCUCACCGAGGGACCUCGAAUCAUUCACAUGCGCACGUCCAUUCACUCUGCGUUUCAGUUUCCCUAUUUGAUUUGCGCCUCAGUUUCCCUAAGAUUCCUUCAAGGACGCCAGCGCUUUCUGAGAACCUAGGAGCCCAGAUCCCGGGGCCCAAGACCCCUUCUCUACAUCUGUAAGAAAGGAGGUCUCGAAAAUCCCCGGGCUUCACCUCUCAGCUCUGCCGCUGUCGGAAUCCGACGAAGACGCAGCAGCCAUCUUCUCAGGCGUCACCUUGGCAACCGGCUGCGGCCAGCCGCCGCGCAACGUUGAAAAGUGCUCGGGCUCUGGAAGGGCGCGUACAAAGGUUCCGGGCGCUCAGCUUUCCGGCCCCGGGGUUACCCAGCAGGAUAUGCUGGCCUGUUAGUUGGGUUCCUGCCUGCUGAGGCGCAGUUCCUAAUCUCAACUGGUAUGAUUUAUUUUUUGCUCCUUCCCAGCCGGAACUUCCUGGCUUUGCAAUUUCUGGAUUAUUGGCAGGACCCUCUGGCCUGGAGAGCAGCGAAACUGACUCCACUACACCCUCCUCCUCCUC